rnacentral:rRNA from 1 species
GACGAACGCUGGCGGCGUGCUUAACACAUGCAAGUCGAACGGUAAGGCCCUUCGGGGUACACGAGUGGCGAACGGGUGAGUAACACGUGGGUGAUCUGCCCUGCACUUCGGGAUAAGCCUGGGAAACUGGGUCUAAUACCGGAUAGGACUCCUGGCUUCAUGGUUGGGGGUGGAAAGCUUUUGCGGUGUGGGAUGGGCCCGCGGCCUAUCAGCUUGUUGGUAGGGUAAUGGCCUACCAAGGCGACGACGGGUAGCCGGCCUGAGAGGGUGACCGGUCACACCGGGACUGAGUGACGGCACAGCCUCCGACGGGAGGCAGCAGUGGGGGAUAUUGCACAAUGGGCGCAAGCCGGAUGGAGCGACGCCGCGUGAGGGAUGACGGCCUUCGGGUUGGAAACCUCUUUCAGCUAUGACGAAGCGCAAGUGACGGUAGUAGCAGAAGAAGGACCGGCCAACUACGUGCCAGCCGCCGCCGUAA